AGAGUUUGAUCCUGGCUCAGGACGAACGCUGGCGGCGUGCUUAACACAUGCAAGUCGAACGGAAAGGCCCCUUCGGGGGUGCUCGAGUGGCGAACGGGUGAGUAACACGUGGGUGAUCUGCCUGCACUUUGGGAUAAGCCUGGGAAACUGGGUCUAAUACCGGAUAGGACCAUGGCAUGCAUGUGCUGUGGUGGAAAGCU
rnacentral:rRNA from 1 species